rnacentral:rRNA from 1 species
GACGAACGCUGGCGGCGUGCUUAACACAUGCAAGUCGAACGAAGUGGCGAACGGGUGAGUAACGCGUAAUCAACCUGCCCUUCAGAGGGGGACAACAGUUGGAAACGACUGCUAAUACCGCAUACUGAAGGAGGGGAUUGCGUUUGUUUAGCUAGUUGGAGGGGUAACGGCCCACCAAGGCGAUGAUCAGUAGGCGGGCUGGGGAGAUGAACGGCCCCAAUGGGGAUGAGAACCGGUCCAGACUCCUACGGGAGGCAGCAGUGGGGAAUCUUCCGCAAUGGACGGAAGUCUGACGGAGCAACGGCGCGUGGGUGAUGACGGGCUUCGGGUUGUAAAACUAUGUUAAUCGGGACGCGGUACCGGAAUAGAAAGCCACGGCUAACUACGUGCCAGCCGCCGCGGUAAUUC